GAUGAACGCUGGCGGCGUGCCUAAUACAUGCAAGUCGAACGAACAGACGCGGCGCUUGCUCCUCUGACGUUAGCGGAGGACGGGUGAGUAACACGUGGAUAACCUACCUAUAAGACUGGGAUAACUUCGGGACACCGGCGAUAACACCGGAUAAUAUAUUGCACCACAGGGUGCAAUAGUGAAAGACGGUUUUGGUGUAACUUAUAGAUGGAUCCGCGCCGCUUUAGCUAGUUGGUAAGGUAAAGGGUUACCAAGGCAACGAUGCGUAGCCGACCUGUGAGGGUGAUCGCCCACAUUGGAACUGAGACACGGUCCAGACUCCUACGGGAGGCAGCAGUAGGGAAUCUUCCGCAAAGGUCGAAAGCCUGACGGAGCAACGCCGCGUGAGUGAUGAAGGUCUUCGGAUCGUAAAACUCUGUUAUUAGUGAAGAACAAAUUUGUAAGUAACUAUGCACGUCUUGACGGUACCUAAUCAGAAAGCCCCGGCUAACUACGUG
rnacentral:rRNA from 1 species